AUGUAGUCUCUCAGGGAAGGCUUCCAAAUCUUUGUUUCUUCGGUCCCUUCACCUCCAGAUGAAGGAUGAGUGCUUCUUGCAAGGCAAUCCAACCCCACAAGUGGUAUGACAGGGUUUUUUAGAAGGAAAAAAAGACAGGUGGAAAAGCUCAAAACAAUGAACUGAAGUUUGCAGUCAAAGAGGCACUACAAGAAGUGAACUCAGCUGCAUUUGAAGAAUUACUUGAUGGACUGGCAUUGUGAAUAAGAAGGCAUGUGUGACCGGGAUACUGCUUAACCCAGAAAGGCAAGUAAUUUGACAUCUUUCCUUUUAAAAAAAGGACAUCUUCCAG